rnacentral:misc_RNA from 1 species
UGCUUCGGCGGGCCCGCCUUAACUGGCCGCCGGGGGGCUUACGCCCCCGGGCCCGCGCCCGCCGAAGACACCCUCGAACUCUGUCUGAAGAUUGUAGUCUGAGUGAAAAUAUAAAUUAUUUAAAACUUUCAACAACGGAUCUCUUGGUUCCGGCAUCGAUGAAGAACGCAGCGA